ACACUCCUGCGGGAGGCAGCAGUGGGGAAUAUUGCACAAUGGGCGCAAGCCUGAUGCAGCCAUGCCGCGUGUAUGAAGAAGGCCUUCGGGUUGUAAAGUACUUUCAGCGGGGAGGAAGGCAAUACGGUUAAUAACCGUGUUGAUUGACGUUACCCGCAGAAGAAGCACCGGCUAACUCCGUGCCAGCAGCCGCGGUAAUACGGAGGGUGCAAGCGUUAAUCGGAAUUACUGGGCGCAAAGCGCACGCAGGCGGUCUGUCAAGUCGGAUGUGAAAUCCCCGGGCUCAACCUGGGAACUGCAUUCGAAACUGGCAGGCUUGAGUCUUGUAGAGGGGGGUAGAAUUCCAGGUGUAGCGGUGAAAUGCGUAGAGAUCUGGAGGAAUACCGGUGGCGAAGGCGGCCCCCUGGACAAAGACUGACGCUCAGGUGCGAAAGCGUGGGGAGCAAACAGGAUUAGAUACCCGGGUAGUCCCAUGA
rnacentral:rRNA from 1 species